rnacentral:rRNA from 1 species
UACGAAGGGUGCAAGCGUUACUCGGAAUUACUGGGCGUAAAGCGUGCGUAGGUGGUUUGUUAAGUCUGAUGUGAAAGCCCUGGGCUCAACCUUGGAACGGCAUUGGAAACUGGCUUACUAGAGUGCGGUAGAGGGGUGUGGAAUUCCCGGUGUAGCAGUGAAAUGCGUAGAUAUCGGGAGGAACAUCUGUGGCGAAGGCGACACCCUGGACCAGCACUGACACUGAGGCACGAAAGCGUGGGGAGCAAACAGG